CCUACGGGAGGCAGCAGUGAGGAAUAUUGGUCAAUGGGCGCUAGCCUGAACCAGCCAAGUAGCGUGAAGGAUGACUGCCCUAUGGGUUGUAAACUUCUUUUAUAUGGGAAUAAAGUGCAGUAUGUAUACUGCUUUGCAUGUACCUUAUGAAUAAGGAUCGGCUAACUCCGUGCCAGCAGCCGCGGUAAUACGGAGGAUUCGAGCGUUAUCCGGAUUUAUUGGGUUUAAAGGGAGCGUAGGCGGGUUGUUAAGUCAGUUGUGAAAGUUUGCGGCUCAACCGUAAAAUUGCAGUUGAUACUGGCAUCCUUGAGUACAGUAGAGGUAGGCGGAAUUCGUGGUGUAGCGGUGAAAUGCUUAGAUAUCACGAAGAACUCCGAUUGCGAAGGCAGCCUGCUGGACUGUAACUGACGCUGAUGCUCGAAAGCGUGGGUAGCAAACAGGAUUAGAUACCCUUGUAGUC
rnacentral:rRNA from 1 species